GAAAUGCGAUAAGUAAUGUGAAUUGCAGAAUUCAGUGAAUCAUCGAAUCUUUGAACGCACAUUGCGCCCGCCAGUAUUCUGGCGGGCAUGCCUGUUCGAGCGUCAUUUCCACCAUCAGGCCCCCGGGCCUGUGUUGGGGACCUGCGGCUGCCCGCAGGCCCCGAAAUUCAGUGGCGGUCGCGCCGUAGCAACCGAGCGUAGUAACUAAAACGUCUCGCUCUGGCUCGCUGGGCGCGCUCCGGCCGUAAAACACCCCCCCUUUUCGCAAAGGUUGAUCUCGGAUCAGGUAGGAAUACCCGCUGAACUUAAGC
rnacentral:misc_RNA from 1 species